GGGCCCGUAGCUUAGCUUGGUGGAGCGCCCGGCUGAUAACCGGGAGGUCACGGGUUCAAAUCCCGUCGGGCCCA
rnacentral:tRNA from 21 species